AUUCAACAGUCAAAAUGAAUAUCAACACAGAGAACCUUGUGGCAAUUAUUUCUAAGCUACAGUACGAUUUGGAUGUCACUAGGCGAAAGCUACAAGAGGUUUCAGCAGAAAAGGACAAUGCAUUAAGCAGGUAAAAUUGUGUACUGAUAUGUUAAAAAGACUUAUCUCUCUUUUGCUGUUUACUGAACAGGGUUUUUAAAUGCAAUGUCAUUUUGUUUAGGUUGAGCUCCAUCGCUAGUGCAAAACUAACCUACAACAACCCAAACAUAGCGGACCUGUCAGACAGGAACAGACCCCAGAAACUUGGGGAAAUGUUCGGUGAGCUGUACGACAAUGAAUGGACGGACGCAGUCGAUCGUCUCACGGAAAUCAUGGAGGAGAAGAAAGCUAUCAUACUGCUGAGAGAUGUCCUUCAAUAUAUCUAUGAGAAAACGAAAAAGGCAUCAGAAGACCAGUAUCGUAAUCUCCAAAAUGCCUUAUUUCAGAGGGACUUGAGGAAUUCGGAAAUGAAGAACUUCAUUCCUAUAUACAAGAAAAUAGGUGAAAUGCAAAAGGAAGUGGCAGCAAUCUCCAUUGAUAACACAAAGCAGGUAAACAGAACACAAUCUUAACCUUUCUUGAAUACCCGUCAUAGAAAAAUUAGAUUUAAUUAAGAGUAUUUUAAUGACAUACUAAUGAUGAAUUUCUUUCUCAUUAUUUAGGCCUUAAGAAUUGAUUCGGAUUUCAUGCUGCCGUUCGAAAGUGUUAUUCUUUACGGUGAACCUUAUGUAGACAGAUGUGUAGAACUGUGCUGGAGAAUGCAUAUUCAGGACCCUCCCAUGAUUCUGGACUUUAGUAGUUCAUCAGAAAUUGUGGACAAAGCCAUGUUCAGACUCUUCACACGAAGUGGAGAAUACGUGGACUUUGUUGUCUGGCCUGCACUGUUACUCCAUGAGAAUGGCCCUCUUGUCCAGAAAGGCGUUGUGCAACCUUUGAAGUCAAAAUCAACGCUUAAAUCUCAUUAACCUUCAGACAGUUUACAUUUCCUUUUACAGUACCGAGUUAUAUAUUUGUUUGAACUUGGAAGAUCAAAGUCAUCUGAACCGUUUCAUGUUAACAUAUAGAAUUUUUACACUCUAGAUUGAUGAGGAAAAUUUUUUGAGGUUCUUGUCAACCGAUUGGCAAACACGCAAUCGACAAAACGACAAGUGCUAAUUAUAUAAAUAAUCAGCUGCAAUAUUCUAAUAAUGUGCCAAACCAUAAUAAAUAUUUUUUAGUUUUGUUAUUUUGAUAUGCUAUUGUUACAGUUGUUUCGUUGUUGAAUAAAAAAAAUAUUUAC
rnacentral:misc_RNA from 1 species